AUUAAUAUUUCAUUGAUGUACAUAGUUAGCUACCUAAAUUUAACUACAUAUGGCAGCCUAUACGCAUUGUAUAAUGACCCGUUUCUACCCAACCUUUAAAAGGCUGACCUAGCAUACGGCUCUAGGGUACUCACUUCAGUACUCAAAAGUUUACAACACCAAUGUUUUAUAUUAUGCCAGCUAGGAAACUAGGCCAUAGAAAAUAAGUAUAUAGAGGUGGCAAAAAGUGGUGCCAGCAGUCGCGGUUAUACCAAUACCUCAAGCUAAUUUUAGCAAAUUGGAGCAGUUUUUAAUAUAGACUACAAAACUAACUUUUAACGUAAAAACCAAAUUUUAACUAAACCCCAACUAGUCAUACCAAAACUACUCCAACAAACCACAACCUCAGAACUCGGAUUAGAUACCCGACUACUGUGUGGCUCAACACAUAGAAGAACACUACGAGCGAAAGCUUAAACCUCAAACAAUGUGGCGGUGCUUUAUACCUCAUCAGGGGAUCCUGUGACUUAAUUCGAUAAUCCACGAAAAUCCAAGCUAUUCUAGUUUCCAGCUUGUGUACGGCCGUUUAUGCUUGCUCGCAAAAGAAAAAAAAGGAAGCAAUUGGUCUAAUAACCCAAGAAUUCAGGUGACAUACAGCCAAUGAAAAGCAGAUCAUGGGAUACAAAUAAAUAUACUAACAGAUUUAAAUCUUAAAAAUCUAAUGAAGGAGGACUUGAAAGUAAGGUUUAUUUUAGAAAAAAAAUCUGAAUAAGAACUAAAGCGCGCACAAAUCGCCCGUCACUCCGACAUAUAAAGUGGGAUAAGUCGUAACAUAGUAGGGGUAAUGGAAAUUGCCCCUAUUGCA
rnacentral:ncRNA from 1 species